GGAUUGAUGAGUCCUACAAAAAAACAUUCCUUGGAAAAGCUGAACAAAAUGAGUGAAAACUCAUACCGUCGCUCUCAUCAGACUGAGUCC
rnacentral:snoRNA from 1 species